rnacentral:rRNA from 1 species
CCUACGGGAGGCAGCAGUGGGGAAUAUUGGGCAAUGGGCGCAAGCCUGACCCAGCAACGCCGCGUGAAGGAAGAAGGCUUUCGGGUUGUAAACUUCUUUUCUCAGGGACGAAGCAAGUGACGGUACCUGAGGAAUAAGCCACGGCUAACUUCGUGCCAGCAGCCGCGGUAAUACGUAGGGGGCAAGCGUUAUCCGGAUUUACUGGGUGUAAAGGGGGUGUAGGCGGGCCUGCAAGUCAGAUGUGAAACCCAAGGGCUCAACCUGAGGCCUUCAUUUGAAACUGUAGUUCUUGAGUACUGGAGGGGCAGACGGAAUUCCUAGUGUAGCGGUGAAAUGCGUAGAUAUUAGGAGGAACACCAGUGGCGAAGGCGGUCUGCUGGACAGCAACUGACGCUGAGGCGCGAAAGCGUGGGGAGCAAACAGGAUUAGAUACCCGGGUAGUC